UGGACAUUUCCAAGUAUCUUUGGGAGAAUGAAUGGGUUACACCAUGUGACCAGCACUGGGAUAUGGGCUUGGUUUGUGCUGGAAACCAUCCACACAGGGAAAAACGAGCCUAUAACGAAAUAUGUCAUGGGAUUAACUUGCAGAUGUCAGUGUAGACAAAAAGCCAUUUGAAUGUACUGGUGCCACUUGGUUCAGGCAUAUUUGAGAAGUGUUAUUUGACACACAGUGAUCUUAUGGUCAGCAAAAGAGUCCAAAGCCUUGCAGAAACUGAAACUAGUGUGGAAAUGAUGGCUGUUGUAGAAAG